CCUACGGGCGGCAGCAGUGGGGAAUAUUGGACAAUGGGGGCAACCCUGAUCCAGCCAUGCCGCGUGUGUGAAGAAGGCCCUCGGGUUGUAAAGCACUUUCAGUGAGGAAGAACGCCUGGUGGUUAAUACCCAUCAGGAAAGACAUCACUCACAGAAGAAGCACCGGCUAACUCCGUGCCAGCAGCCGCGGUAAUACGGAGGGUGCGAGCGUUAAUCGGAAUUACUGGGCGUAAAGCGCGCGUAGGUGGCUUGAUAAGCCGGUUGUGAAAGCCCCGGGCUCAACCUGGGAACGGCAUCCGGAACUGUCAAGCUAGAGUGCAGGAGAGGAAGGUAGAAAUCCCGGUGUAGCGGUGAAAUGCGUAGAGAUCGGGAGGAAUACCAGUGGCGAAGGCGGCCUUCUGGACUGACACUGACACUGAGGUGCGAAAGCGUGGGUAGCAAACAGGAUUAGAUACCCUAGUAGUC
rnacentral:rRNA from 1 species